AUGUGCGCAUCACUGAAUGUUUCUCCUUUAGACCUUAAAAUACCUCUUUAUCUUUACCUAUAUUCCAUUUGUUUUCCUUUUUUUAUGCCUUUCAGCGAUGUGAAAAUUAAAUCUAAAGUUGUUUGCAAUUACCUGAUUUUUAUAAUCAAAAUGGAUAUUUAUGUUAAAUGUGUAGAUUUCUAUACUUUCAUAAUUAUUAUUGAUUUACAUUUAUUAAUUUAAUCCUACACACACUUGUUAAUGUUGGCUUUAUGUGAAGCAUUUUCCCAGCAUCAUUCUUGAUUCUGGGGAUGCAUACAGACCCAGACCCAGAACUUACAGAUCUUACAAAUUUGUGGAAGGAGACAGUCAGUAAACUAAUAAGCAGAUGAGCAAGCCCCUAAUGUUAAAAGAAGAUAAGCCAAAUGAUGAGUUAGAAAGAAUUGCAGGGAGACCAGUUUAAAUAAGGUACUCAAGGGAUACUUUUCAGAGGGGCUGACAUUUAAACUGAACCUGAAGUAUAAGAAAGAGCCAGCUGCUUUAGAUAACGCUAUGAGUUAUUAAUCCUUUCAAUAACUCUACAAAUUAAGAACUGUCAUUAUCUUAAUUUCGUGAAGGAAGAAAGUGAGGCUUAAAAAAGAUUUACAUGCACAACUUUAAAGGUUGGAAGGUGGUAAAGCUUGGAUUAGCACCUGGAUCUAUAAGAUCCUACAGUGUGCUAGAGCUGGAAUCCAUGACCUUUAGUUUUUCCAACCCUGCGUUUCUGUGACUGAAACUGACCAGUAUGACUCUGACAGAGGGCCAUAUUUUUCCAUCUCUGUGGGCUAGUGAAUUAACUACUGGCUUCAAGAUAACUAAACUUUAAUGAAGGAGUUAGAAGACUGAGAUUCCAAAACAUAUCCUGAAGCAAAUUCAGCCAAUUAUAUUUUUGUAUUUAGUACAUGGUUUGUGGUGGACACACAGACGUGGUGAGAUACAAUCACUUUUUCAGUUUUCUUUGAUGCCACUUUGAUAAUGCUGAUGUAUUAUAAGUACAUUCACUGGUUUAAUAAAAUUCAGUUACCCAGAAAGAAUAUUACUUCC
rnacentral:lncRNA from 13 species